rnacentral:rRNA from 1 species
GACGAACGCUGGCGGCGUGCCUAAUACAUGCAAGUAGAACGCUGAAGGGGGAGCUUGCUUCUCUGGAUGAGUUGCGAACGGGUGAGUAACGCGUAGGUAACCUGCCUGGUAGCGGGGGAUAACUAUUGGAAACGAUAGCUAAUACCGCAUAAGAGUAGAUGUCGCAUGACAUUUGCUUAAAAGGUGCAAUUGCAUCACUACCAGAUGGACCUGCGUUGUAUUAGCUAGUUGGUGAGGUAACGGCUCACCAAGGCAACGAUACAUAGCCGACCUGAGAGGGUGAUCGGCCACACUGGGACUGAGACACGGCCCAGACUCCUACGGGAGGCAGCAGUAGGGAAUCUUCGGCAAUGGACGGAAGUCUGACCGAGCAACGCCGCGUGAGUGAAGAAGGUUUUCGGAUCGUAAAGCUCUGUUGUAAGAGAAGAACGAGUGUGAGAGUGGAAAGUUCGCACUGUGACGGUAUCUUACCAGAAAGGGACGGCUAACUACGUG